UACGUAGGAGACGAGCGUUGUCCGGAAUUACUGGGCGUAAAGCGCGUGUAGGCGGAUGAGCAAGUCUGCUGUGAAAGCUCCUGGCUUAACCGGGAGUGGUCGGUGGAAACUGCUCGUCUGGAGGACGGUAGAGGUAGGUAGAAUUCCCGGUGUAGUGGUGAAAUGCGUAGAGAUCGGGAGGAAUACCUGUGGCGAAGGCGGCCUACUGGGCCGGACCUGACGCUGAGGAGCGAAAGCGUGGGGAGCGAACAGG
rnacentral:rRNA from 1 species